AAAAUUUCUGUAAACUUCCCUCUGCUAAAGAACUCUGAAAUCUUAGAAAAAACUAAUGAGACACCAUUAUGCACUAAUAAAAAAUGGAGGAAAGUUGAAAUUACUUUUGAAGGAUCUUGUCAAAAGAACUUAAUACUAUGCAAUGAGAGUCAAGCUCUGCAAGAUCUGACAAAUAUGAAAUUAUAUCCCCAUAAUUCCUUGCCUGAAACCCAGAAAAAAUUUGAAGAAAACUCAAAAACACCAGCUAGACCAAGAAAAAACAUUUGCUACAAAGAACCCAGAUUAAACAGCAAAUCGAGGCGUGGAGAUCAGUUUACAGAUUCGGAGUUUCUGAAUUCCCCUGUCUUCAGAGUUAAAAAUAAAAGGAGUUUCAAAAGUAAAUCAAGACUAAGCUGAAAGCAAGCAAGAAGAGAACAUACUUUUAAAAUGUUUUGUACAGUGUCAUUUUUUUUCAAAGUGCAAAAGUUUUUCAUACUGUUCUUUUUUUGACUAAGGCUAGUCAAGUGAAACAAUAGCCAUCCAAAACACAAUUUUCUGUGGACAUAGUUUUGGGCUUAUACUGCUUACCUAAGCAGAAUACCUUACUGACUAAGCCCAGCAG
rnacentral:lncRNA from 1 species